AACUUUUAUGCUUGGUUCAAAUGUGUUUAUACAUUUCUUGUUAAUGAGAAAGAUUGACAAUUAUAAUGAAUUAAAGGAAGAGAUCGAAAAUUAUAAACAUUUGAUGGAACAAGAUUUGAGAAAUAAUUAUCAACACUUAACUUCUUUUCCGCUACGUAAGAA